CCUACGGGGGACAGCAGUGGGGAAUAUUGCACAAUGGGCGAAACCCUGACGCAGCGACGCCGCGUGAGUGAGGAAGUAUUUCGGUAUGUAAAGCUCUAUUAUCAGGGAAGAAAAUGACGGUACCUGACUAAGAAUCACCGGCUAACUACGUGCCAGCAGCCGCGGUAAUACGUAGGGGGCAAGCGUUAUCCGGAUUGACUGGGUGUAAAGGGAGCGUAGGCGGGUAAGCAAGUCAGAAGUGAAAACCCAGGGCUCAACCUUGGGACUGCUUUUGAAACUGAGUAGCUAGAGUGCAGGAGAGGUAAGCGGAAUUCCUAGUGUAGCGGUGAAAUGCGUAGAUAUUAGGAGGAACACCAGUGGCGAAGGCGGCUUACUGGACUGUAACUGACGUUGAGGCUCGAAAGCGUGGGGAGCAAACAGGAUUAGAUACCCGGGUAGUC
rnacentral:rRNA from 1 species